AACGAACGCUGGCGGCAGGCUUAACACAUGCAAGUCGAGCGCCCCGCAAGGGGAGCGGCAGACGGGUGAGUAACGCGUGGGAAUCUACCCAUCUCUACGGAAUAACGCAUGGAAACGUGUGCUAAUACCGUAUACGUCCUUCGGGAGAAAGAUUUAUCGGAGAUGGAUGAGCCCGCGUUGGAUUAGCUAGUUGGUGGGGUAAAGGCCUACCAAGGCGACGAUCCAUAGCUGGUCUGAGAGGAUGAUCAGCCACACUGGGACUGAGACACGGCCCACACUCCUACGGGAGGCAGCAGUGGGGAAUAUUUGACAAUGGGCGCAAGCCUGAUCCAGCCAGGCCGCGUGAUUGAUGAAGGCCCUAGGGUUGUAAAGCUCUUUCACCGGUGAAAAUAAUGACGGUAACCGGAGAAGAAGCCCCGGCUAACUGCGUGCCAGCCGCCGCAGUAAAAC
rnacentral:rRNA from 1 species